AAGGGGGGAAGAAACCAGAAGGUGAAUGAGGAGAUUCAGUCAUUUGGUUGAAGAAAUGUGUGGAUCGAUGCUGUCGGUCAACAAUCUUAGUUCUACGGGGCUUUAGAGUGAUUAUUAUUCUUGAUUGACAUUAUUUUCAACCUUGGAGAAAGCAUCGGGGUGGCAGGUUGCCUAGUGGUUAGAGUGGAGGGGUGGCCGGUAGCCAAGUGGUUAGAGUGGAGGGGCGGCAGGUUGCCUAGUGGUUAGAGUGGAGGGGUGGCCGGUAGCCAAGUGUUUAGAGUGGAGGGGCGACAGGUUGCCUAGUGGUUAGAGUGGAGGAGUGGCAGGUAGCCUAGUGGUUAGAGUGGAGGGGUGGCAGGUAGCCUAGUGGUUAGAGUGGAGGAGUGGCAGGUAGCCUAGUGGUUAGAGUGGAGGGGUGGCAGGUAGCCUAGUGGUUAGAGUGGAGGGGCGGCAGGUAGCCUAGUGGUUAGAGUGGAGGGGCGGCAGGUAGCCUAGUGG